GCAUAUCAAUAAGCGGAGGAAAAGAAACCAACAGGGAUUGCCUCAGUAACGGCGAGUGAAGCGGCAACAGCUCAAAUUUGAAAUCUGGCGCCUUCGGCGUCCGAGUUGUAAUUUGUAGAGGAUGUUUCGGCGAGGGCUCCCGUCUAAGUCCCUUGGAACAGGGCGUCGCAGAGGGUGAGAAUCCCGUAUGUGAUGGGUUGCUCGAGCCAUGUGAAACUCCUUCGACGAGUCGAGUUGUUUGGGAAUGCAGCUCUAAAUGGGAGGUAAAUUUCUUCUAAAGCUAAAUACCGGCCAGAGACCGAUAGCGCACAAGUAGAGUGAUCGAAAGAUGAAAAGCACUUUGGAAAGAGAGUUAAAAAGUACGUGAAAUUGUUGAAAGGGAAGCGCUUGCAACCAGACUCGCGCGCAGUUGCUCAGCCGGUCUCCUGACCGGUGUACUCUUCUGCGUCCGGGCCAGCAUCAGUUCGGGCGGUCGGAUAAAGGCCUCGGGAAUGUGGCUCCCCUCGGGGAGUGUUAUAGCCCGGGGUGCAAUGCGGCCAGCCUGGACUGAGGAACUCGCUUCGGCUAGGAUGCUGGCGUAAUGGUUGUAAGCGGCCCGUCUUGAAACACGGACCAAGGAGUCUAACAUCUAUGCGAGUGUUUGGGUGUCAAACCCAUGCGCGUAAUGAAAGUGAACGGAGGUGGGAACCCUCACGGGUGCACCAUCGACCGAUCCUGAUGUCUUCGGAUGGAUUUGAGUAAGAGCAUAGCUGUUGGGACCCGAAAGAUGGUGAACUAUGCCUGAAUAGGGUGAAGCCAGAGGAAACUCUGGUGGAGGCUCGCAGCGGUUCUGACGUGCAAAUCGAUCGUCAAAUUUGGGUAUAGGGGCGAAAGACUAAUCGAACCAUCUAGUAGCUGGUUCCUGCCGAAGU
rnacentral:rRNA from 1 species